CACCUCUUAGGGUCACACCUGGAGAGUUUCUAAUACUCUACCAGUCUAGGCUAUGGGAAAGGGAGUCAAGCAGAGGCCUACCUAUUCCAUUCUUAGCUAGGGCAGUGGCUAGAGAGUGGAAGGCAAUCUGCUACAAGU
rfam:Ornithorhynchus anatinus chromosome 2, whole genome shotgun sequence.